rnacentral:rRNA from 1 species
UUGAACGCUGGCGGCAGGCCUAACACAUGCAAGUCGAGCGGAUGAAGGGAGCUUGCUCCUGGAUUCAGCGGCGGACGGGUGAAUAAUGCCUAGGAAUCUGCCUGGUAGUGGGGGAUAACGUCCGGAAACGGGCGCUAAUACCGCAUACGUCCUGAGGGAGAAAGUGGGGGAUCUUCGGACCUCACGCUAUCAGAUGAGCCUAGGUCGGAUUAGCUAGUUGGUGGGGUAAAGGCCUACCAAGGCGACGAUCCGUAACUGGUCUGAGAGGAUGAUCAGUCACACUGGAACUGAGACACGGUCCAGACUCCUACGGGAGGCAGCAGUGGGGAAUAUUGGACAAUGGGCGAAAGCCUGAUCCAGCCAUGCCGCGUGUGUGAAGAAGGUCUUCGGAUUGUAAAGCACUUUAAGUUGGGAGGAAGGGCAGUAAGUUAAUACCUUGCUGUUUUGACGUUACCAACAGAAUAAGCACCGGCUAACUUCGUG